ensembl:snRNA U6 U6 spliceosomal RNA
GUGCUGCUUCAGGAGCACAUUUACUAAAAUUGGAUGAUACAGAGAUUAACAUGACCCAUGCACAAGGAUACACACAUAAUUGUAAAGCACUCCAUGUUUUU